AGUGAACGCUGGCGGUAGGCCUAACACAUGCAAGUCGAACGGCAGCACAGUAAGAGCUUGCUCUUACGGGUGGCGAGUGGCGGACGGGUGAGGAAUACAUCGGAAUCUACUUUUUCGUGGGGGGUAACGUAGGGAAACUUACGCUAAUACCGCAUACGACCUACGGGCGAAAGCAGGGGAUCUUCGGACCUUGCGCGAUUGAAUGAGCCGAUGUCGGAUUAGCUAGUUGGCGGGGUAAAGGCCCACCAAGGCGACGAUCCGUAGCUGGUCUGAGAGGAUGAUCAGCCACACUGGAACUGAGACACGGUCCAGACUCCUACGGGAGGCAGCAGUGGGGAAUAUUGGACAAUGGGCGCAAGCCUGAUCCAGCCAUACCGCGUGGGUGAAGAAGGCCUUCGGGUUGUAAAGCCCUUUUGUUGGGAAAGAAAAGCAGCAGGUUAAUACCCCGCUGUUCUGACGGUACCCAAAGAAUAAGCACCGGCUAACUUCGUG
rnacentral:rRNA from 1 species